ACUCAUCGAUUUACUGCAGCCAUCAAGGUAAUAUCUCUUCUUAAUUGUUUUUCCUCUUCUAUGAAUUUGAUUAUCGAUUUUCCUAAACUCUUGCACCUGCCUUUCUUGUUCUCUUCAUCCUAUGUUUAGAAGUCUUGAGUAUUAAGGCUGAUGGGCUGAGGUUUAGGUGUGUGAGGGAGGAGGAGGGGUCGCCGGCGUGCAGCACCGGCGGCGGUGGCAUGGUGGCUGCCGCCAUUUUUUUUUAGGAUUUGUCCCCCUGUUUGUUUUUACAGCAGCAGGGUCGUAUCUUGCGAUCCGUUUUUCAUCUGCUUUCUGUCAUCAAACCCCAUCAAUAUAGGUACCAUUGGAAAGCUAUCGUUGUUGGCUUUCCAACGGUACCUUCGGAUCGUCAAUCCGACACCGGACGACGGAGUUAUGAGUUAAUCAAGUCAGGGUGUCGGGUCUGUGCGGGAUUGUCUCCGCGCGAGUUUGAGACUACUUUCCGGCGUCAAAUCGACGCCGUGAGGGAGAAUAACUUUAGAGGUUUUGUAGCUCAUGUCGUAGACGUUCUAAUCAUAGGUUUUCUUCUUGAAAUCUAAGGUCGAAUUGGCCGGAAUAGACGUCGAGAUGUAGCUCCAUAUGUGUCGAAUAUGAGUUUUAAUAUGUUAUGCUUAUUUUAAUUUUUAUUUGGGAAUUUGAAUUAGAUUUUUGAUGAUUGUUUCACCUUGAACACAUAAAUAGAUAAUCAAGACAUUUGCGUUUAAUAUUAUUAGCCAAGAAUUGAAAUAAAUUAUAAGGAUUAUGGUGAUCUAAACUUAGUAUAUUAUAUAAUUAAAUUAUAUGAUUAUAAUGAAGUUAGAUUAGUAUAAUUUAUACUAGUAAUUGAAACUAUGAAUUUAUAAUUUGUAGAUUCAUAAAAUUUUCAAAUAUGGUCUUUAGCUUCAAGUGUAUUGUAGAAUAUUCAAGAAUAUAUUCAAGAGAGAUUAAAAAUAUUGUAUAAAGAAAUGAGAGCUUAUUCAAGAAUAAGUGCUUGUAAUGAAACUAAGUUUAAAGUGUUUCAAGUGCUAGGAGCAGCGCAUCCAAGGCUCGAGGAGGACAACCGAAGCAAGCUUGAAGAUGUUUGAAUUCAAUCACUUAAGGUGGGGUUUUACUUUUAUCUGUAAGCGUAGUUGUUACAUGGUUAUAACAGCUUCCGUUGCCUUUGAAAUAUAUAUAUAUAUAUAUAUAUAUUGUGUUUUGGCAGGAUUAUUAUUGUAGUUUUACAGCUUCCGUUACAUAUUUUUUUAUAUUGGAAAAGAGAAAUAAAAUUUUGAUAAUUUUUCUAUUACACAUAUAGUAUAUUCUAAUAACUCAUUGGUUAAGUAUUAUUACUUUGAAUAGUAAUAUUUAUUAGAUUACUAUAUAAUCAAAAAAGAAAUUCUUUUUCUAUUUUUCUUUAUAGCCUAUACUUAAAUUAAUAUUAGAGAAAUGAAAUAAAUGAAUAUUUUUGGUAGCAUCUCCUAUUCGCAAGGGAUGGGGGCGUUACAGUGUGGUAUCAGAGCAGGUCUACGUUCCUGUAGACUUGCGUCUGAAGUAUAAUUAUUAGUAAUAUAUGAGUUGUUGUGACAUGCUUCGAAUCGGGAGAGAAUGUGGUUCGUGGCUGCUGCUCUAUGCCGACUCCAAGGUAAUAUGUAUUUAUUAAAUAAUUUUAUUUUGCUUAAAAUUAUGGUAUGAGUAUGAAAUGAUCGUCUCGAAAAAAAAAAGUUUGAAAGUUUGAUCGUAUCAAUUUGAAUAAUGUGAAAGAAUAUGUGUGUCCACAAGGGACAAAACAUGAUUUUAAUGUUUAGUUGAUACGAUUAUUGGCUAUGUUUUGAAUUUUCCGACACAUCAAUGAUAAAGCUUGAUAGAAUAUAUUUUAAAGAAUGAAAUGGAAGUUCCCUCAAUGAUCUUGAUUGACUUAUAUUACAUAGAUUUAUGCUCUAAUAGAAUUAGUCCUCGAAAUAUAACCUUUAGGACAUUUUACUUUAGGGCCUUACUAUCUUGAUUUAGUUAUAGGAUAAUACCCCCGCGACGCGCUCCGGAAGAUGAGCAGCAAUCCCCACGCGUGAAUAACAAUGGGGUUGAUUUUGCUCAAUUUCUACUAGCUCUCCAAGGCUUUAUGCAGCAACAACAGGAUGGUGGCAUGAAUGCUGGACAACCUCGAGUAAGGAAUUUUGAAAUUAUUGAACAGUUUCGAAUGAUGGGUCCACCAAGAUUUAAGGGAACCGAAGGGCCUGAAGACACGGAAGAAUGGAUUCGUGAGCUCGUACGAAUAUUUGAGCUUAUGGGCUGUAGUGAAGAGCAAAAAGUCUCGUGUGCGAUCUAUCAAUUGGCCGAAGAAGCAAGCCACUGGUGGGAAUCUCAUGCUCGAACGUUGACACUUGAACAACGCCAAGCUUUGAUUUGGAAGGACUUCAAGGAGCUGAUAACGGAUCGCUAUUUUUCUCAAUCCUACAUAACACAAAAGGAGACCGAGUUCCUCAAUCUCAAGCAAGGAAAUAUGACGCUAGUCGACUAUGAGAGAAAAUUCAACAAAUUGUCUCGAUAUGCACCAUACCUAGUCGACACGGAUGUGAAGAAAGCGCGUCGGUUCGAGCAAGGCUUACGACCUGAAAUUUGUGGAAUAAUAUCCACCUUGAGAUUGCCAACUUAUAGAGAAGUUAUCGACCGAGCUCAAGCAGUCUCCAAUGGCUUGCAACUAGAGAUCAAAGAUCAACAACACCGUGACUCAUUCGGAAAGAGAAAAUGGGAAGAUUUUGGAAAAGGGAAAAAUGCUCCAAUAAACAAGAAAUGGCAACCAACACGUGGUUCUUCAACAGGAUCUGCAUCAUCCAAGUCAAGCAAUGAGAAGUCUCAAUGUCCAAAGUGUAAUAAAUUCCACAUAGGCGAGUGUUGGCGAGGGAAGAACGUUUGCUACUCCUGCGGCGAUCAAGGACACAUGUCAUAUAACUGUCCAAAGAACAAGAAGGAGACACAAAAGAAUAUGCAAGAGCCUAUGAAGAAGGUGAAACCCCGAGUCUUUGCCAUGACUGAAGGAGACCCCAAUCCUGAGGACGGUGCCGACACCAUGUCAGGUAUACUUCAAGUCUCAAAUAUUCCUGCUUUGGUGCUAUUUGAUUCGGGAGCUACCCAUUCCUUCAUAUCUACGAAAUUUUGUUCGAAGAUUAGUAUAGUCUCCUACGAUAAUAGCGACGCACUAGAGGUUAGCAUUCCUUCGGGAAAAAUUAUUAGGAGCGAUAAGAUAACGAAGGGUAUAAAGAUAGACAUAAACGGGAAAGAGCUUGAAGCCGAUCUUCACGUCCUAGAAAUGCGAGAUUUCGAUAUAAUUUUAGGCAUGGAUUGGAUGGGCACGAAUAAUGCAACAAUUAGAUGUCGUGAGCGAGAGGUGGAGAUUCAACGCCCUGGAGAACCGAAGCUCAUCUUUUAUGGUGCUCGAACAAAAGCUCAUCCAAAGGUUAUAACCGCGAUGAAGGCAAUCAAGAUGCUAAGAAAGAAAGAUUGCCAAGGGUACCUAGUUAGUAUGACCACAACACUACCCAACGAAAGUAAGGUUUCUGAAGUGCCUAUAGUAAGAGAGUAUGCCGAUGUAUUUCCAAAUGAGUUACCAGGGAUUCCUCCAGACCGACAAAUCGAGUUCACCAUCGACUUAGUACCAGGAGCAACUCCAAUCUCGAAGGCACCCUAUAGGAUGGCACCUAAAGAAUUACAAGAACUUAAAGUUCAGCUACAAAAGUUGCUUGAUAAGGGAUUCAUUCGACCGAGUGUAUCUCCUUGGGGUGCUCCAGUAUUAUUCGUGANNNNNNNNNNNNNNNNNNNNNNNNNNNNNNNNNNNNNNNNNNNNNNNNNNNNNNNNNNNNNNNNNNNNNNNNNNNNNNNNNNNNNNNNNNNNNNNNNNNNNNNNNNNNNNNNNNNNNNNNNNNNNNNNNNNNNNNNNNNNNNNNNNNNNNNNNNNNNNNNNNNNNNNNNNNNNNNNNNNNNNNNNNNNNNNNNNNNNNNNNNNNNNNNNNNNNNNNNNNNNNNNNNNNNNNNNNNNNNNNNNNNNNNNNNNNNNNNNNNNNNNNNNNNNNNNNNNNNNNNNNNNNNNNNNNNNNNNNNNNNNNNNNNNNNNNNNNNNNNNNNNNNNNNNNNNNNNNNNNNNNNNNNNNNNNNNNNNNNNNNNNNNNNNNNNNNNNNNNNNNNNNNNNNNNNNNNNNNNNNNNNNNNNNUAGGUAGAGAUGUUACCUACUUAGAUAUGUAGUUCGAAAAGAUGAUCGGGGCUCGUCUCGGCACUCAAAUCGGAGCUUGAAAGCUCGAACACCAAGCUUCAAUGGGUGUUUGGCGUGAAUGGUGUGUAUUUAGUGUGUGUUUAAUGUGUUUGUGUGUGUGCUGCGUGAGUUUGUGUGUGUGGGCUGAAUAUCAGCUGUUUAAUAUGUGUGAGUGAGUGGGUUUGGGCGGUUGGGGGUGGUUAGGGGUAGGGUAGGUUAGAUAUUUAGGAUAUUAUCUCACUUAGUCGUUAAAUAUCUCGUUUCGUCUCGUUUUAACGACUAACUACCCAUACUCUUCGUUACUCGCCCUCUCAACUCCUACUCACUUUCAUUAUACUCGUAAUUCUAUAUAAAUAUAGAAAACGCAAGCUCGUUCUCGAAAUUCUGAUAAACGAGCUCAGUUCGUUUAUCGAGAAAUCCUGAUUCACUAUUCACUCAUCGUCCAAAAAUAAAAACUUUCAUUAUUGGACUCAUAUCGAAAAACUAAGAAUAUUUCUCGACGACGUGCACGUAAGAUUUUGAAAGUCGACAAAAAGACGAAAUAGCAGUAUUUUACUAUUCAUCGUCAAAAAGUCAAAAAUUUAAAAAACGUCUUAACGGACUCAGAUUUCACUUUCGAGUUCACCGUUCUCAUUCAAAUAAUUAUCUCGAAUUAUUCAAAUACUCAAACUCAAUUACGGAUAUAAAAUCCCACAUCAUCCAAACAUCAUCAAAAAAAAACAUCUCAACAUCUUUAAAAAAAAAAACAAGAAAACUUCAUAUAACUCCUCAUCUCUGUACAAAGUAAUCAAACAAGGGAUCUAUACCCUAAUUACUCAAACUCAAGCAACUAAACACGUCAUCAAAAGUCCGGGUAUUACAGAAAAGUUGUAUGCGAAAUUUCAAAAAUGUGAAUUCUGGUUGGAACGAGUAGCUUUUCUCGGACAUGUGAUUACACCGAAAGGGAUAGAAGUAGAUCCGUCCAAAGUUGAAGCAGUAAGUAAUUGGAAGACACCAACCAACGUGAAAGAGAUCAGGAGCUUCCUUGGAAUGGCUGGGUACUAUCGGCGAUUCAUAGAGGGAUUUUCGAAAAUUGCCGGUCCGUUAACAAAGCUAACGCGUAAGAAUGAAAAGUUCCAAUGGAGUGACCAAUGCGAGAAGAGUUUCCAAGAGCUUAAACAACGCCUAAUAUCAGCCCCAGUUUUGACAGUACCUGAUGGUACUGAAUGCUUUGUGAUCUAUACGGAUGCUUCAAAGCAAGGGAUCGGAUGUGUAUUGAUGCAACAUGGUAAGGUCGUGGCAUACGCAUCAAGGCAGUUGAAGCCUCACGAAGAGAAGUACCCAACUCACGACCUCGAGCUCGCAGCAGUUGUGCACGCAUUGAAAAUAUGGCGUCAUUAUCUCUAUGGCAGCAAGUGCGAAAUUUACACCGACCACAAGAGCCUCAAAUAUUUCUUCACUCAAAAGGAGUUAAACCUCCGCCAAAGAAGGUGGUUAGAGUUAGUUAAAGAUUAUGACUGCACAAUCCACUAUCACCCUGGAAAGGCGAACGUGGUUGCUGAUGCGUUAAGUCGAAAAAGUUAUCUUGCCACAUUACCUACUAGCGAGAAGAAGCUAAUUAGAGAAUUCGAGAUGCUUAAUUUGGAAGUGGUGCAACCGCCGAGCACCACAUCAGGAGUUAUAGCUGCACUUGUCGUCCGUCCAAUGCUAAGAGAUCGAAUUCGAGAGGCGCAAAAAGAUGAUCAAUUUUUGUGCAAAAUAAAGACAAGAGCACUCGAAGGUACCAUCCAAGGAUUCGCAGUCACAGAGGAUGGAACACUCGUUUACGAAGGAAGAUUGUUCGUGCCAAACAAUGAAGAGCUCAGACAGGAGAUACUUGAGGAAGCACACAAUACUCCAUACUCCGUGCAUCUAGGAGGAACCAAGAUGUACAAGGAUUUGAAAACGAUCUUUUGGUGGCGAAACAUGAAGAGAUCCAUUGGGAGCUUCGUAGAAAGAUGUAUCACUUGCCAACAGGUAAAAGCUGAACACCAACGCCCCUCUGGAUUACUAAACCCGCUCGAGAUUCCUGAGUGGAAAUGGGAGAAAAUUGCUAUGGACUUUGUGGUUGGAUUACCUCCCACAGUGAAAGGCCACCAUGCAAUUUGGGUUAUUAUUGAUACGUUGACGAAAUCAGCCCACUUUCUUCCUGUAAAGAUGACCUAUAGCAUGGAUCAAUUGGCGCAACUCUACAUUGAUGAGAUAGUAAGGCUACAUGGAGUACCAGUGUCAAUAGUGUCAGAUCGAGAUACGAGAUUCACUUCUAAGUUUUGGAUAAGCCUUCAAUCUGCCUUAGGCACCAAGUUGAAUUUCAGCACCGCCUAUCAUCCUCAGUCGGACGGACAAUCGGAACGAACUAUCCAAAUCUUGGAAGAUAUGCUUCGUGCUUGUGCGCUUGACUUGGGAGGAAGUGUAACACCCCGCCCAUUUCUAUUAAGUUUAGAAUUUAUUUUUAAUUUAGAUUAGGAUGAUUUACGCCGAAAAUGAAAAACGAUUUAUUUUUAAUUCCAACAAAAUUUAUUUUCAGAAGCCUUUAUAAAAAUUUAGUCUUUUGAAAUUUUGUGCAUUCAUAAAUUGAAUUAUAUGAAUAUGAGAUUAUUUUAUAUGUUAAUAUUUAUUUGUAUAUGAUUUAAUUAAAGUUUAUGUUAGACUUUAAUUAUUUAAAUGUGUUGGGCUUGGACAAAUAUUUAUUUGGGCCUUAGUUUUAAUUGAAAUGAUAUUCUAGAAAUACCAAAGCCCAAGAGCCCAAACCAACCUCCUUUACCAACCUCCAUGCCACCAUAGUCAAGUACACGCCAUGCUCUUCAACCAUGCCUCUACAAUUCAGCUACACUAUUCAUGCUUCAACCAUGCCUCUACAAUUCAGCUGCACUAUUCACCCGUCUUCAUGCUUCAACCAUGCCUCUACAAUUCAACUGCACUAUUCACCCGUCUUUUCACACUGUUCAGCCUCUCCUUAGUUCAGUAUUUUCCUCCUUUAAAGCCAUCCUCGUUUACCUAAAAUCUUUAGCAGCUGCAAAGGAUUUUAGACGGUAAAGUCUCCCCCUUCUCAAUUCAAUUUCUGCACAUAACACUUUCUUGACCCUUCAAACAUUUGUAUCUUCUGCAGAAACCACGACGACAUACAGAACAAACAAAUCACUCACUAAAGGUGCUACCUUUAAACUUCUCGGAUUAAAUUUCAUUUCGAUACACAUGUUUUAAGCACCCAGCCAAUGUUAGAAACCAACAAAGCAUGAGUAGCAGCCCCAUAACUGAAGAUACAAGCAUUUUACAUGUAUAAGGAAUUUGAACAAGAUUUAUAAUUGUAAAAUUCGAACUUGAUUAUGUGCUAAACUUGAGCCUUGAUUGUUGACUGUUGAAUGUUGAGUGUAUGCUUGCUGUGGUGAGAGUCGAGUCAGGGGAGAGACGGAAGGCGGCGGUCUGCGGUGGCUCCGAGCUGCUGUCUAGCCGGAGCGCGUAGAGAGAGAGAGAGAGUGAAGCCGAGGGUGCGUGUGUUCUGUUGCUGGGUCGGAGCUCCGCGGCGGCGGCGGCCUGGCAGCUGCUGUCUGUCGAAGCCAGUGAGGGAGAGGGAGAGGAAAGAGAGAUAGGGCGGAGGCGGCGUCGUGUGUGGCGUCGUCGCUGCCGGAAAUUGAAGGUAGAUCUAGAUAUUUGGGGAUCUAGGGUUCCGGUGGGAUUUAGAGAGAGAGGAAGGUUAGGAGGGAAGUGAGGUGAUUUAGGGCUUUGGGUUUGGGCGAGCGGCGGCGGCGGUGGUUUCAAUGCCGCUGCGGCCGCCGGAUUUCAGAGGGAGUCGGCAGCCUGAGGUGGUGCGUCGUGGGUGUAUUCCGUGGGAGAGGGACGAGAGAGAGAGGUCAGAGGGUGACGUGGCGUUGACCGGGGUUCCCCGCGGUUGCUGCUGCGCCGGAGGAGGGCCGGCGUUGGCCGGAGAUGAGGGAGAAGAGAAGGGGAGCCGGUGGAGGGUGUGUCUACAUCGGCUGUGUGGUGUGAGUGUGUGCGUGUGUUUCUGAAUGUGUGUGUGUGUGUGCGCGUGUGAUUUAAAAUGAGGAAGGGAGAAAGGGAUUUAGGGCUAGGAUGUUGGGCCUACCUUAUUUUCUUUGGGUUUGGGCCAGAUUUAUUUAUUAAGUCUUGGGCCUGUUUUUUUUAAGUGAUGGACUGCAUUUUAUUUCAAUUGGGCUUCGAAUUUUAAAAGCUUCCUUUUAAUUGUUAGACUUCUUUAAUUGAUUUAUUAAUUUGACUCUUUAAUUUGAGUUUAAAUAAAAUAUUUUUAAAGAAUAGUUUGCAUAAUAUUAUUUGUAUUAUGUGCAUAUGUCGAAUGUAUUUACUUAGUUAUGUGUUUUAAAAGCAUGAAAGAAAUUUGCAUUAAAAUAUUUUUCAAAUAAAAUCAUUAUGAUUAAAUGGGUUUUAUUAUUAAUUCAAGUAUUUAAGAAAAAUCGAGCAAGGAUAUUGUUGGUGUCCUUGACUCAAGAAUUUAGUUUUCAAAUAUUUAUUAAAUUUUGAAAACCCGGAAAGUGAAUCAUAGGAUGAUAAGCACUACACCAUGACUUAAGAUUAGAUUCAGGUGACCUAUUAAGAUUAUAGAUUUCUUGUAGGCUUUGUGGAUCGUGAGGAUUAACACUGCUAUACCGAUUCAGAGUUAAGAAUAAACGACAGGCAUUGCCUAAUCAGGUGGGCUUAUUUUCCAAAUGUAUGAUUUAGCUAUUGAGCUUAAAUGUUUUAAUGAAAUGAAAAUUGUUUAUCCGAUAAAAUAUUUUGUGCACUCUGCUCUGUUUAAGGCUCGCAUAAGUUAAUCGAUCGAGGUUCUCUCUUGACCUAACACGUUAUUUGAGAAUUGUGUACACCUAUUAGUUGACUCGGUGGGUUGAUCUCCAUUCGGGCACUAAUCAUGUAUGAGGCGUUAUAAGGGUGCUCGACGGGAUGUGUUCCGGAGCAUUGGGUCCCAAAUGGGAACUUGGCUGGGUUACGCCCUCAGUUCAAGUAAGCAGGAGUAAUGGAUCCGUUGGUGGCUAAAAGGUCCGGAUCACAGCGAGUAACGGAAAGGGAGUGUGACAAUUGCGCGCAAUAUAAUAAAAUGUUUUAACAUGCUUAGAAGUUAUUUCAAUUUAAAACCUUCUAAGUCAUGUCAAGUAUAAUUGGAUAAACUGCUCUUAUGAUUAUGAAAUGUUUAUAAAAAUGAUAUCCCACUAAGUACAUUAGUACUUAGCCCAAAAUUACUUUCAAAUGUUUUUAGGUUGAUUGGUCGGUGCUGACGGGGCAGAGCUGAGGCUAGGGUUCAACUCCGUAUUUUGUCUUCCGCUGUUGUACUAGCUCUUAUUUGUCUUAUGUUUCUCUAACUUAAGACCUUUAUGUUAAAUUCUGAAUUAUGUUUCUUAUCGAGCGUAGACUCUCAACUUCUAACUCUAUGUUAUUUAACGUUGGUUAUCAGAAGCAUGAAACCAAACUUGUGAUCCUGAAGUUUAGAAUGUUGUUGAUUGAUUAGUAUCACUUGAUUUCUAUCUUUCUUCAUUCAAAGGGGCGUUGCCCAACCUUUUUAUCCUAUUAUCUGAAUUUCACAAGGUUCUUCCCUUGUUUAUUUCUAUGAUUUUAGUCGCACCUCGAUUAUAGUUUAUUCCUUCAAGAAUUGGGGUGUGACAGGAAGUUGGGAGAAACACUUACCAUUGGUCGAGUUCGCGUACAAUAAUAGCCACCAAGCUACAAUCGGGAUGCCGCCAUUUGAAGCUCUUUAUGGAAGAAGAUGCCGAUCACCGAUUCACUGGGAUGAAGUCGGAGAAAGACGAAUUUUGGGACCCGAGAUCAUUGAAAGAGUAGUUGGAGUAAUUGCAAAAAUUAGAGAAAGAAUCAAGAUAGCCCAAGAUCGUCAAAAGUCUUACGUCGAUCCAAAACGAAAAGACGUGCAUUUCGAGGUUGGAGACAAAGUAUUCUUGAAGAUAGCACCGAUGAAAGGAGUCAUUAGAUUCGGCAAAAAGGAAAAUUUACAAUCUCGAUACGUAGGACCAUUUGAAAUACUUGAAAGGAUAGGAGGCAUAGCUUAUCGCUUAGCUUUACCCCCAGACCUAGCAGGCGUACAUAACGUAUUCCACGUGUCGAUGCUUAGGAAAUACGUUUCUGACCCAAGCCACAUCAUUUCUCGUGGGAGUCUCCAAAUUUCUCCUGACCUAACCUAUGAGGAAACGCAUGUUGCCAUCUUAGAUCGAAAGGUUCAUACCUUAAGAAAUAGAUUAGUGCCAUUAGUAAAAGUCCAAUGGAGUAGGCACGGACCAGAAGAAGCAACGUGGGAGAAAGAAGACGACCUUUUAGCGCGAUAUCCUCACUUCAAAGACUUGCAAGGUUAAUUUCGAGGACGAAAUUAUUUUUAAGGGUGGUAGGGUGUAACACCCCAAACCUUUUUAGUUUAUUUAAAAUUUGCUUAUUAUAUAUUAAAAAAUAUUUACACUUAAAUUAAUUAUUUUAUGACUUCAUUAAAACUAACGGAUUUGAUUUUUAAAUGUUUAACAGGUUGUCCGACUUUGAGCAAGGAUCCGCCCUAGCAAAAUUAAAAUUUACUUAUAAAUAAAUCUUAAAGAGUAAGAUUAGUAAAAUAAAAUACAUGAAAACUCUAGAAUAUGUUAGAUAUUAAUAUGUAAAUUGUUUAUAUAAAAAAAGUAUAAGUAAAUGGAAUAUUCUAGAAUUGAUUUAAUAUUAAAAUAUUAAGGAUUUUUGUAAUAAGUCAUAUAAUAUUAAUGAAUAAACUUUAAUAUUCUAGAAUUGCUAUUGAUAAGAAAUAUCUAAGAUUUUAUUAGCAAAUAGCAUUAAAACAUUUAUAAAGUGUUAGAUUUUUAUUGUAUAAGUUAGAUUUUUUAAUAGAUAAUCCAUGUAUAUAUAUAAGGAUAUGCUUAUGAUUUGGUAAUUUCUCUAUCUUCUCUCCCCUGCGUCUUUUCUCUUCUCUCCAUCUUCACCACUCAUCGAUUUACUGCAGCCAUCAAGGUAAUAUCUCUUCUUAAUUGUUUUUCCUCUUCUAUGAAUUUGAUUAUCGAUUUUCCUAAACUCUUGCACCUCCCUUUCUUGUUCUCUUCAUCCUAUGUGUAGAAGUCUUGAGUAUUAAGGCUGAUGGGCUGAGGUUUAGGUGUGUGAGGGAGGAGGAGGGGUCGCCGGCGUGCAGCACCGGCGGCGGUGGCAUGGUGGCUGCCGCCAUUUUUUUUAGGAUUUGUCCCCCUGUUUGUUUUUACAGCAGCAGGGUCGUAUCUUGCGAUCCGUUUUUCAUCUGUUUUCUGUCAUCAAACCCCAUCAAUAUAGGUACCAUUGGAAAGCUAUCGUCGUUGGCUUUCCAACGGUACCUUCGGAUCGUCAAUCCGACACCGGACGACGGAGUUAUGAGUCAAUCAAGUCAGGGUGUCGGGUCUGUGCGGGAUUGUCUCCGCGCGAGUUUGAGACUACUUUCCGACGUCAAAUCGACGCCGUGAGGGAGAAUAAGUUUAGGGGUUUUGUAGCUCAUGUCGUAGACGUUCUAAUCAUAGGUUUUCUUCUUGAAAUCUAAGGUUGAAUUGGCUGGAAUAGACGUCGAGAUGUAGCUCCAUAUGUGUCGAAUAUGAGUUUUAAUAUGUUAUGCUUAUUUUAAUUUUUAUUUGGGAAUUUGAAUUAGAUUUUUGAUGAUUGUUUCACCUUGAACGCAUAAAUAGAUAAUCAAGACAUUUGUGUUUAAUAUUAUUAGCCAAGAAUUUAAAUAAAUUAUAAGGAUUAUGGUGAUCUAAACUUAGUAUAUUAUAUAAUUAAAUUAUAUGAUUAUAAUGAAGUUAGAUUAGUAUAAUUUAUACUAGUAAUUGAAACUAUGAAUUUAUAAUUUGUAGAUUCAUAAAAUGUUCAAAUAUGGUCUUCGGCUUCAAGUGUAUUGUAGAAUUAUCAAGAAUAUAUUCAAGAGAGAUUAAAAAUAUUGUUUAAAGAAAUGAGAGCUUAUUCAAGAAUAAGUGCUUGUAAUGAAACUAAGUUUAAAGUGUUUCAAGUGCUAGGAGCGGCGCAUCCAAGGCUCGAGGAGGACAACCGAAGCAAGCUUGAAGAGGUUUGAAUUCAAUCACUUAAGGUGGGGUUUACUUUUAUCUGUAAGCGUAGUUGUUACAUGGUUAUAAUCAUUGUUGUGUUGUGCGUCAUUCAUAUGAACUAAUGGGACCCACAAGGGGUCGGAUCCACAAGGGAUCAAAGAGCUGAACGGCCCACAAGGGGUCAGGUCCACAAGGGACCGAGACUAGUCUCACAAGAUGUCAGCUAAGUGAAAAAAUUAUAAGAGUUCAACAUGCUAUGAUUCAUUACACAAUUGGUUAUAACUGCUUGCAGUGUUUACCCCACUGAGUGUGCUUGCACACUCAUACCCUAUUAUUUAUGAUUUCUUUUCAGGUUAAGGAGUUGACGGCAAGACGGCAGACAUGGAGCUCCACAUUCU
rnacentral:lncRNA from 1 species